UGGAGGCGUUAACAAAAUAAAACGAAUUGGUUCAGAAGUGGAGACAGACAUGAGCAGCGUCUGUGUGCGUGAGCAAAAGGGUCGUUGUGGAAUAGACAUAUAGCGUCGUCGCACGUUAGUGAGAACAUAUGGCCAAUGCAUGGUGUCUGUUUUGUUAUACGUGCAUAGAAUUAUCUAAUCAACGAAUCAGGCCAAAGGAGCAGGACAGUUAAUUCUAUCAAUUCAGUUGCGAACGUGCGAUCACACACAUGCGACAAACAGUGAACUGAGAAAAGGUUGUAUCGCGUCGCCACAUAUAUAUUUGUCAAAAAUGCUUCUCGACUCGUUCUUCGAUAGUGUGAAAGCUCAUCACAAUGGCCUGCUCGACGAAAGGCGAGUCCUAGUUCAACGUUACGGCGUGCUUUGUGAAUGCCUAAAAAGUACGCUGUUUUAUCCGCCGGUUCAAGCAUAAAAUUUUCAAGUUUCUUCGUUCCAGCACGGACCAGCGAUUUGAAACACUACCUUCGUACGAAGCUACGCGCGAAACUAAUUGAAACUGUUCAUCAUAUUUGUGCAGAGCGUAAGUGCAUGAUGAAAAUCUAUGUUAAUGAUAGAAGUGGU